UUCGGUGGCGAUAGCGGGGGGGAAACACCCGUACCCAUUCCGAACACGGAAGUUAAGCCCUCAUGCGCCGAUGGUACUGAGCGGGCGACCGUUCGGGAGAGUAGGUCGCCGCCGGUU
rnacentral:rRNA from 1 species